CAAGGGCAAGUUUGAUUCAAGACAGAAAAUAAUUGUACUCAUACAAGCAGCAUAGAAGUUCAGGAGCCCCAAACACGACUGUUUUAUAAAGGGGGGGCUAACAUGUGGUCUGAUCUGGUCUAAUCCCCGCAGAACUAAUCUGCCUCACGAGCUGCCCGGCGAGGGGUAGGGGUGGCGGUGGCGACAGUGUGAGCGAGGGGACCGCUGUGUUCCUGUUCACUCUGCUCUCUCUCCCCCCUGCACAGAGAGCUAGGCUGCUGCCCACUCCCUGACCUGCUAGUGGGGCCCCGUGGGACUGGCGUGACCAUGUGCACCACCUUUAUGGUGCUCAGCACCCUGGCAAUGCUGCUGCGCCGGAGGCACACGGACGAGCCUGGAGAGAGAGACAUGCCCUACAUGAAGGUAGACACUACAGCAA